AACGAACGCUGGCGGCAGGCCUAACACAUGCAAGUCGAGCGGACCUUUCGGGGUCAGCGGCGGACGGGUGAGUAACGCGUGGGAAUAUGCCCUUCUCUACGGAAUAGUCCUGGGAAACUGGGGGUAAUACCGUAUACGCCCUUUGGGGGAAAGAUUUAUCGGGGAAGGAUUAGCCCGCGUUGGAUUAGGUAGUUGGUGGGGUAAUGGCCUACCAAGCCGACGAUCCAUAGCUGGUUUGAGAGGAUGAUCAGCCACACUGGGACUGAGACACGGCCCAGACUCCUACGGGAGGCAGCAGUGGGGAAUCUUAGACAAUGGGGGCAACCCUGAUCUAGCCAUGCCGCGUGAGUGAUGAAGGCCUUAGGGUUGUAAAGCUCUUUCAGCUGGGAAGAUAAUGACGGUACCAGCAGAAGAAGCCCCGGCGAACUCCGU
rnacentral:rRNA from 1 species